GGGAAUUUUCGGCAAUGGGGGAAACCCUGACCGAGCAACGCCGCGUGAGUGAAGAAGGCCUUCGGGUUGUAAAGCUCUGUUGUAAGGGAAGAACAAGUAUGAGAGGGAAUGCUCGUACUAUGACGGUACCUUACCAGCAAGCCACGGCUAACUACGUGCCAGCAGCCGCGGUAAUACGUAGGUGGCGAGCGUUAUCCGGAAUUAUUGGGCGUAAAGGGAGCGCAGGCGGUUUAUUAAGUUUAUGGUGAAAGUUCGGGGCUUAACCCCGUGAUGCCAUAGAAACUAGUAGACUAGAGUGCAGGAGAGGUUAGUGGAAUUCCAUGUGUAGCGGUAAAAUGCGUAGAUAUAUGGAGGAACACCAGUGGCGAAGGCGGCUAACUGGCCUGUAACUGACGCUGAGGCUCGAAAGCGUGGGGAGCAAAUA
rnacentral:rRNA from 1 species